rnacentral:lncRNA from 1 species
AUUUGAACUCAUUAAGCCUUUGCUUUGUUAUUCUUGGUAUUUCAGAACAUGUGCUGUAAGUGUCUCUUGGUUCUUUCCAAUUCUGCUAUAUAAAACCCCUUAAAAUUAGGCAGGACUUGGCCAUAAUGCUCUUGAUCUCAGAUGUUGGGGCCAGAUUUUUCCCUGCCUGUCAAUCUGGAGUGAAUCUGCAGGCAAAGGGCUUUUUUCUUCAGCUUUGGAUGGUCCAAAAAAUGCUGAAAGGAUGAUAAGAAAGGUGGCAAGGAACAGCAGAAUGGGUGGGUUACAGCAAAAGGAAAUGUGCAACCUCAGGUUCCCAUUUGCUGUUCCAUACUAUUAAAAAAAAAUAAAAUUAAAAAGAAAAAAAAAAAAGAAAAAAAAAAAAAAGAAAGAGAAGAGUCUGGGUAGAUGGAUGGAUGGGGUGGGGAGGAAAAUGUCAGAGCAAGCCCCUGGCUAUUUCUCAUUUCAUUUCACUCAGUGGCAAUAUGUCAAGAACAGGGAGAAGAGAAGAAAAGGGAACAUUGAAAUUUGAGGGAGGGGGAGGAUGUGUGUGAAAAAUUCCAUAAAAUGUGGUUCUGUUUUAAACCCUGCUGCACAGAAACAACUUCAACAUUUUCAUGAGUUCUUCACCGCAUUUUUUAAUCCUUUCUGCAGAUGAUGCUCUUAAAGGAAACAAGCGAAGCCCAAAAUGGUGCAAACCCCUCUAAAGACUUGUGCUACCCAAGGUCUAACUCCAGAAAACCUUCUGGCAAGUAAAUGUGGGGAUCAACCUCAAUCUUGGUGUAACUCCACUGGCAGCACUGGCUCUGCACUACAGCAGAAGCUAUUCCCCUAAGAGGCAGUUCUUAUUUUAAGAAGAAAAGGAUACCGAAGCAAAAUGGGAAGCAGAAUCCAGUGAAUGGCUCCAUUCAUGAGGAUGGAAAACUUUCGGAUAAUGGUCUGUAUCCUCCAGAGGACAGGCUCCCAGAGCAGUAGAGUGCAAGAAAUGGGAAGCCUUCUUGCCACCUGUAGAAUGCUGGGCCAAGCAGAUCCAUUCAAUUUGCUGUCUUUAAAGUUGUGUGUCUGCAUCCUCCAACUGCUCUUUUAA